CUGUAGAAAAUGUAGCGCACAUUUCUCUGCAACAUUAGAAGUAGGAUAAAUGUGUUGAUUUGAAGGACAGACGUACAGACUCUGGAUCCAUUUUGAGAUGACAGAGCAGAAAACACUAUAUGGACAAUACUGACAAAUAAAGGGAAGCCUGGGAAACUGAAAUGUCUGAGCUUUUUCAACAGUGUGACUGUGAACAUCUGUACCAAAACCAAAUGAAGGGAGACAGAGAUAUGAUUAAAAAACAACUGUUGAUGCGACAUGAAAAAAGAUGGGUGGAGGAGAUGAAUCAUAAACCCAAAUUGAGAACCUUUUGUUUGAUUCAGGGUGAAUUGGUGUGUGAGAGAUAUAUUAUGUAUAACCUACCUAAAAGCAAGAGAUCUCUAUGUGCACAGUUCAGAUCAGGGAUAUUGCCUCUGUGUAUUGAAACAGGUCAGAUCAGGGAUAUUGCCUCUGCGUGUUGAAACAGGUAAGAUCAGGGAUAUUGCCUCUGUGUAUUGAAACAGUUCAGAUCAGGGAUAUUUGCUCUGCGUAUUGAAACAGUUCAGAUCAGGGAUAUUGCCUCUGUGUAUUGAAACAGGUCAGAUCAGGGAUAUUGCCUCUGCGUAUUGAA